rnacentral:lncRNA from 1 species
ACCAGCUGAAAGUUUCUAGACGAAGGGCAUAUACCAGUUAAACUCCGCCAUUUUGCCUCUCAGUGUUCAAGCUUGAGCCCACGCAUCCAACUCCUGAGAUCUUACUGGGAAGCUGCUGAUCAUCAGUUUCAGGUGAAGUCAGCAUGGAUCAGCCUUACGUUCAUGGCCUCCAGGCCCUAUUCUCCUGCCUCACAGGGACCGGCCAGGAUCUCUAUCCUUACAGCACGUUGGAAUGUAUAUGCUCCUCUCCCCACAUCGCCUUAGGGAGCAGGCAGGUGUCAGGGGCAGCACAAGGACGGCCAACAGGACAGAAGACGGGUUGAAGAUCCGAGAGGCUGAGUCACUUCCACAAAGUAACACAGCUGAUUUUAAAUGCCUGCAUUCAGCAUCCCUGCAGCAGGCUCCAGGUGGAAUUCUAAUGGGACCAGCCUCCAGUCCCUGGACCUUAGCCGUGGAAGGAGAGAAGAGGACAUCUGCACCUCCUCUCAGAGAAAGCCUGAUGCCUACUAAAGGACUUGGGUGGUGGACGCAGUGACCCUCAGUCUGGAGCUUGUUCACUGAACAUUGGAGACUAUCAUUUGCGCAGAUGGUCUUGGGCCUCUAUGAGCAGCAGGCUGCACCCCACAGUGACCUCCUCAUUCUACUCUGAGGCAUCUUCAUGAAAGCAGAUGUCCAUUGAAAAGCACCCAAGUGCAGUCUCAGCUGAUGAACUUCAGAGGCGAUUGAGACAAAGGCUCUCGGUCCCCUCUGCCCUUGGAUGGUGCCUCUGGUAUGCACUUGGCCUCUGUGUCUUUAUUUAGACUGGUCACUUCACAACCCAUCAUGUCACCCCACCCCUAACCGUGCCCACUCUGGGUCCUCCCCUCAACUGCCUGACUUCCCACUUUGAGCUCAGCAAAGGCAAUAGAUGUUUUGUCUGCUUCGAUACCCUAAAUGCAUGGCGUGGAAGCUGGCACACAGUGGGCCCUUGAAAUUUGGGAGUGAAUAUGUAUAUAUAUUAUAUUCCAACCUCAACUUUCCUCACUGCUCCUCAUAGUAGGAAUGGAUUGUAAAACUUCCCAGAAUGUUCAAGAGGAGAAAGGAGAGAAAACAGCCUGGAAUUUGAGCUAAGGGGCCCACAGCCCAGCCACCAAGCCAUCUGUAAAAUGGGGUGGGAAUAUGACAUGAGCCACAGGGGUGCUAUGAGGGUUAAUGAGGUCACCGUGCGAUGUACCAUGCCAACAUGAAUAACCAGACCUCUUGAUAUCAUCA